UACGAAGGGGGCUAGCGUUGUUCGGAAUUACUGGGCGUAAAGGGCGCGUAGGCGGUGUGUCAAGUCAGGCGUGAAAGCCCCGGGCUCAACCUGGGAACCGCGCUUGAGACUGGCACGCUAGAGUUCGGGAGAGGAUGGUGGAAUUCCCAGUGUAGAGGUGAAAUUCGUAGAUAUCGAGAGGAACACCGGUGGCGAAGGCGGCCAACUGGACAGAUACUGACGCUGAGACACGAAAGCGUGGGGAGCAAACAGG
rnacentral:rRNA from 1 species